UGGGGAAUAUUGCACAAUGGGCGCAAGCCUGAUGCAGCCAUGCCGCGUGUGUGAAGAAGGCCUUCGGGUUGUAAAGCACUUUCAGCGGGGAGGAAGGCGUUAAGGUUAAUAACCUUGGCGAUUGACGUUACCCGCAGAAGAAGCACCGGCUAACUCCGUGCCAGCAGCCGCGGUAAUACGGAGGGUGCAAGCGUUAAUCGGAAUUACUGGGCGUAAAGCGCACGCAGGCGGUCUGUCAAGUCGGAUGUGAAAUCCCCGGGCUCAACCUGGGAACUGCAUUCGAAACUGGCAGGCUAGAGUCUUGUAGAGGGGGGUAGAAUUCCAGGUGUAGCAGUGAAAUGCGUAGAGAUCUGGGGGAAUACCGGUGGCGAAGGCGGCCCCCUGGACAAAGACUGACGCUCAGGUGCGAAAGCGUGGGGAGCAAACAGG
rnacentral:rRNA from 1 species